rnacentral:rRNA from 1 species
GAUGAACGCUGGCGGCGUGCCUAAUACAUGCCAGUCGAGCGAACAGACGAGGAGCUUGCUCCUCUGACGUUAGCGGCGGACGGGUGAGUAACACGUGGAUAACCUACCUAUAAGACUGGGAUAACUUCGGGAAACCGGAGCUAAUACCGGAUAAUAUAUUGAACCGCAUGGUUCAAUAGUGAAAGACGGUUUUGCUGUCACUUAUAGAUGGAUCCGCGCCGCAUUAGCUAGUUGGUAAGGUAACGGCUUACCAAGGCAACGAUGCGUAGCCGACCUGAGAGGGUGAUCGGCCACACUGGAACUGAGACACGGUCCAGCCUCCUACGGGAGGCAGAAGUAGGGAAUCUUCCGCAAUGGGCGAAAGCCUGACGGAGCAACGCCGCGUGAGUGAUGAAGGUCUUCGGAUCUUAAAACUCUGUUAUGAGGGAAAAACAAAUGGGUAAGUAACAAUGCACGUCUGGACGGUACCUAAUCAGAAAGCCACGGCUAACUACGUG